rnacentral:misc_RNA from 1 species
GAUGAAGAACGUAGCGAAAUGCGAUAAGUAAUGUGAAUUGCAGAAUUCAGUGAAUCAUCGAAUCUUUGAACGCAUCUUGCGCUCCUUGGUAUUCUGAGGAGCAUGCCUGUUUGAGUGUCAUUAAAUUCUCAACUACACUGACUUUGAAUUGGUGUGGCUUGGAUUUGGGGGGAAAAUUGUUGUGGGCUUUUUGUAUAGUCUGCUCCCCUGAAAUUGAUUAGCGGUACCUUUGUGGAACUGUCUACAGGUGUGAUAAUUAUGUACAUCUGCUGGAAUGCUGCUUUCUAAACCUUACUUGUAUUGACAAUCUUGACCUCAAAUCAGGUAGGACUACCCGCUGAACUUAAGCAUAUCAAUAAGCGGAGGA